AUUCCAGGAGAGCGCAUGCGCAGACGCAUGGCCACAGACUGCCGGUCAGUGUCAGCAGGCGGUGGGUUAGGGUCCGCAGGCCCAGACCAGGCCGCCGACACCAAUAAGCUACAAGGAGGAGCUUUACCGCUGCCUGUACUACUACUGCCUGCGCUACUUCCCAGCCUGCGGCGUAGGGCGCAGCAAGGGCCUGACGCUUAGCGAGCAGGCGCUGCGCACCAAGCGGCUGUCGCCUGGAGGGCACGUUCAGGCAGAAGCUCCUCAGUGGCCACAAGUCCGCUAGCUCCGGCUACAGCCCUUGCCGCACACUCGCGUCACCUGAGCCUGUGAUGCCGAAGGACCUGUUCAAAGUAUUUUCUGUAACUCCAACUGUAACUUGGUUCUAGGAGGAGAGAAUCCAUGUUUGGUCAACAGAACUUUUCGCCGCCACUUAAGUUUACUGCUUCAAUAUCUUUUCCUUACUAAUUGAUUGUUAAUUAAGUAGUGUCCAAGUGAGUUAGCCUUUUUAGGGUUGAUUAAUUAAAAGAGCAGCAAGAAUGGCAUUUUAA
rnacentral:lncRNA from 1 species